CCUACGGGUGGCUGCAGUGAGGAAUAUUGGUCAAUGGGCUUACGCCUGAACCAGCCAAGUCGCGUGAGGGAAGACUGCCCUAUGGGUUGUAAGCCUCUUUUGUCAGGGAGCAAUUGGCGCUAAGUGUAGCGUUAUCGAGAGCACCUGAAGAACAAGCAUCGCCUAACACCGUUCCAGCAGCCGCUGUAAUACGGAGGAUGCGAGCGUUAUCCGGAUUUAUGGGGUUUAAGGGUUGCGUAGGCGGAAUGCCAAGUCAGCGGUAAAAUCGCGGGGCUCAACCUCGCUCCGCCGUUGAAACUGGCGUUCUUGAGUGGGCGAGAAGUAUGCGGAAUGCGUGGUGUAGCGGUGAAAUGCAUAGAUAGCACGCAGAACUCCGAUUGCGAAGGCAGCAUACCGGCGCCCAACUGACGCUGAAGCACGAAAGCGUGGGUAUCGAACAGGAUUAGAUACCCGAGUAGUC
rnacentral:rRNA from 1 species